ACAAAGUCGGAUUUUAACUAAAAAGAAAAUGGGAUUUGAACGUUAUUCCCUUUAUAAAUCCCAAUGGAAAUAAUCUUACCCGUCCAUAAGAUGGAGGAUUCGUUGUCGAUCACCAACCCCGUCAUUAGAAUCAUUUUUAAUCUCUGUUCUCUCAGUCGAACGAAAAACUGUUGAAUCAAAAAAUAAGAAGAGAAAAAGAAGAAGAAGAAGA
rnacentral:misc_RNA from 1 species